rnacentral:rRNA from 1 species
CCUACGGGAGGCAGCAGUGAGGAAUAUUGGUCAAUGGGCGGGAGCCUGAACCAGCCAAGCAGCGUGAGGGAAGAAGGUACAGUGUAUCGUAAACCUCUUUUGUCAGGGAACAAAGGCGGGGACUAGUCCCCGGAUGAGGGUACCUGAAGAAAAAGCAUCGGCUAACUCCGUGCCAGCAGCCGCGGUAAUACGGAGGAUGCGAGCGUUAUCCGGUUUUAUUGGGUUUAAAGGGUGCGCAGGCGGUCUGUUAAGUCAGCGGUCAAAGCCCGGGGCUCAACCCCGGCCCGCCGUUGAAACUGGCAGUCUCGAGUGGGAGAGAAGUAGGCGGAAUGCGCGGUGUAGCGGUGAAAUGCAUAGAUAUCGCGCAGAACUCCGAUUGCGAAGGCAGCAUGCCGGCUCCACACUGACGCUGAGGCACGAAAGCGUGGGUAUCGAACAGGAUUAGAUACCCGGGUAGUC